AAAACGCGUCUUCUGUAAGGGGGUGUUUUGUAAGGAAGCGCGACGCUCGGUCUGAACAUUAACACGCAUUGUUUAAGGGAUAGGGUUUCCACGAGGCCAUAUGUCCAUGUUACAGCGCUCGUUUAAAGAAAUCGGAUGGAAGAUGGUGGACUAGCUGUGCUAAUUAGCUAUCGGCAUCUCCGAACACGUGUGUAAACGGAAGACCGAGACUCCACAAAGGUGUCACUGAAAAAUACUGUGUUAAAAAUGGCUUAAACCAUGUACAGUAAGUGUGUGUGUUUUGCAUUUGUGAAAUAAUUUUGAUGUGGUAUGGAAGUAGAGGGAUUUAUGUUUCAAGAACUGUAUCACAAUUGAGAAUCAAUUCAUGUGGAGAUGGAGUAUUUGGCUGUUUUGUCUUCCAGAGCCAAUUCACCCUUUAAACAGAACUUGCAAGGUCCUUGGACUAAGCAGUAACAUUAGGCGUGGACUCAAGGUGUCGAAAGCUGGAUAAUGUUGACUCCAAUGCUUCCCACGAUUGUGUCAAGUUUGCUUGAUGUCCUUUGGAUGGUGGACCAUACUUGACACACACAGUGAACUGUUGACCAUCAAACCCAGCAGUGUUGUAGUUCUUGAGACAAACCUGUGCGCCUGGCACCAACGACCAUAACCUGUUUUAAAAGGGCUUUUUAAAAAAUCUGCUUGAAAAUCUGGCAAGAUUUGAAAAUGGUUGUCUAGCGAUGAUCAACAACCAAUUUGAUAGAGCUUGAAGAAUUUAGAAAGUAUAGAUGGGCAAAUAAUGUACAAUCCAGGUGUGUAAAGCUCUUAGAGACUUACAAACAUACGUUUCUAUUCAGGACAAAAAGUGAAUUGCUUAGAGAAAUGUUUUACAGUAUUACUGUAAGGUCACCUAGAGGUUAGAGCAUUGGGCCAGUAACCGAAAAGGUGCUAGAUCAAAUCCCCGAGCUGACAAGGUACAAAUCUGUCGUUCUGCCCCUGAACAAGGCAGUUAACCCACUGUUCC
ensembl:lncRNA